CGAACGCUGGCGGCAGGCCUAAUACAUGCAAGUCGAACGGCUCUUCGGAGCAGUGGCGGACGGGUGAGUAACGCGUGGGAAUGUGCCCUUAGGUACGGAACAACACAGGGAAACUUGUGCUAAUACCGUAUGUGCCCUUCGGGGGAAAGAUUUAUCGCCUUUGGAGCAGCCCGCGUUGGAUUAGGUAGUUGGUGAGGUAAAGGCUCACCAAGCCGACGAUCCAUAGCUGGUCUGAGAGGAUGACCAGCCACACUGGGACUGAGACACGGCCAAGACUACUACGGGAGGCAGCAGUAGGGAAUCUUGCGCAAUGGGCGAAAGCCUGACGCAGCCAUGCUGCGUGUAUGAUGAAGGUCUUAGGAUUGUAAAAUACUUUCACCGGGGAAGAUAAUGACGGUACCCGGAGAAGAAGCCCCGGCUAACUUCGUGCCAGCCGCCGCAGUAACAC
rnacentral:rRNA from 1 species